UACAAGCAUGAUUCCGCCUUUUAAUUGUUAAUUGCAUGCUAUAGAUGUUGCUUAAAUGAACAUGUUUUUCACAAUAUUUUCUUCAUUUUGACUGCUGAAUACAUGUGAACCCAAUCUUUUACAUACAAAUGUUAAUGAUUAGUGACUGUUUAGAAAAAUGUUAUCAACAUUUGUCAAUUAAAUGAUCAAUUCUAUAUCAUACAACAAAGUUCUUAGUUUUAAUCAUACAAGUGAAAACCAACCUAAAAAUUUAUCUUCAUUUGUUAUUAAUAAGUUUAUAUUUAAGUUUUCUAAUUACAUCGUCAAACACUAUAAUAACAAAAGUUCUUUAAUGUUCUGUUUGUUUUUUCAAUUUUUUUCUUUUGCUACCAAUUAUUUGAAAUGUUGUAUUAUAUAAAUGAACUUGUUGUGUUUUUGUUGUCUCACAAUUGUGUAUAAUUGUGCUUUUAUUUCUUAUUUACUUAACACUAAUGUUUAAGUAUGUACCAAGAAUAUCCCUAUAAAUGAUGUUUGAAAUUGAUCAUAGUAU
rnacentral:lncRNA from 1 species